GGUAGCGAUUCUUUACAGUUAGACAAAAACGUUAUAAUUUUCUUGAACUAUACUUGUUUAUAUCUUUUUUUAAGUUAAACAUGAAACUUAAGAUUUUUUGCAUUAUUCAGUUUAAAUUUACCUUUUCCAACCAUUUAUAGAAAGUACUAUUUACUACUUUAUAUACUAUUUAUAUGGCUUCACUUAUUUGUUUUACUUUUCAGAGUUUCAGAGAAAAGUUAUGGUCAAACUUUCUGAAAUUAACAUUAUAAAUUAACAUUAACUGAAUAAACAUUUUAGUAAAUAAAACUGCACAGUUUUCUAAUGAUCCAGAAGGUUAUAAACAACUUAAAAGUUCAGAUGAACUUAAUGUUUUGAAAAGAAAAAUUGCAAAUGGAGAUAUCCAAUACAUCACUUUUGUAAAACAGUUAUCAUUAAUUGGAGACUGACAACAGAUACUAUUUUCAGAAUGCAGCAUGAAUGGUCUAAAGAAGAAAAAAAAGUUUAAAAAGUUGACAAGUCUAUGUAUUGCUAUCACUGAUGCUGCUUCAAAGUCAAAUAAAAGCUUAACCAAAAUAGAGCUUAUUGGGAGAUUAAUUAGGCAUUCUUCUGACCGAUUCGAGAGAAAAUCCACCAAUAUCCAUAUUGAUCAAUGAUGGCUUAAUUAACUUCAAUCAACUGUUGUGUUUUUUGUUUAUUUUGCAUUUUUCAGUAAUUUUCUUUUUACUUAUAAUAUACUAUCGAUUAUACUCUACAAAAAAUAUUAGUUUUUAAUUUGGAAAGUGUAACUUUG